rnacentral:lncRNA from 10 species
GCUAUUCAUCUGCCUGAUCUGAGAAAGCCCACUCCAAAUGAAGGUUUUUGGAGUCAACAGCUCUCAGAAACUGAUCAAGACCCAUUCAUAGAACCCAAGCACGGAGAAAUGGAGUCUCACUCUGCUGCCCAGGCUGGAGUACACUGUCGUGAUCUUGGCUCACUGCAACCUCCACCCCCGGGUUCAAGUGAUUCUCCUGCCUCAGCCUCCUGAGUAGCUGGGAUUACAAGCACCCACCACUACACCUGGCUAAUUUUUGUAUUUUUAGUACAGACAGGGUUUCACCAUGUUGGUUAGGCUGGUCUCGAACUCCUGACCUCAAGUAAUCCGACCGCCUUGGCCUCCCAAACUGCUGGGAUUACAGGUAUGAGCCACCAUGCCUGGCCUGUGAUUAACAUUUAAAUUAGUAGACUUUGAGCAAAGCAGGUUAUCCUCCGAAAUGUGGUAGGCCUCAUCCAAUCAGUUGAAGGCCUCAAGAACAAAGAAUGAAGUUUUCUGAAGAACAAAUCCAGCCUGUAGACCGCAAUAUAAAAAGCCUGCCUGAGAUUCCAGCCUGCCUGCCCUGCCCUGUGGAAUUCAGACUCAAAACUACCACAGGCGACUCUGACCCGAAUUUUCAGCCUGCUGGCUUGCCCUAUGGAUUUUGGACUUAGCAGCGUCCAAAUUGGAUACAGCCUAUUGGUUCUGUUUCCCUGGAGACUGAUUAAUACAGGUGGUAAAGCCUAACUGUGAAUCCAACUCUGAUUGCCAAGGUCUGUUCUUUCCUUUCUAGUCUAUGGUCUCAAAGUUUCAGUCAACUUUCAUGUAGUUCAGCUGGAAGCUGUUCCAUCUGUGCUGCCCUCUUUUACAAAUUGGUUUAAAAACAAACAAAAGUUUUCACUGAAAAAGGCAGUAACAGUUCAGUCAAAAGAGACCUGACUACAGGUCUUUUCUCCUCCCAGUCCAGAAUGUUCCUUCCCUGAGGGCUUUGUCAUGGUGAAUAGGGACACAUCUGACAAGUUAUAUUUCUUGCAUAAUAGAGAGAAAAGUUCAAAAUGAGAUUCUAGACUUUCAUUAGUUUUUCUGCUGCCCUAAUUUCUUUUGCUCCUUUGCUUUCACAUCAGUGGCAGACUUUAAUUAAACUGUGGCAAGUCUCCUAAACUUGGCGGGCUUUCCAGAAAAAAACAAGGGCAUCUUCUCCCAGGGCAGAUUUUUCCCGAGCCCUCCAGCUUGCAUUUAUUCUUCCCAACUGUCUAGAUUAGUAGCCAGAAACCUUACACAUCCUCAGAUUGGGUUUCCUCUCUGCCUUUGUUCUCUUCCACUUAGGUUUUACUGAAAGUUCCUUAUCCACGUAUUACUGCCAUGACUAAUUCAAAGUAAUAUUUCAUUUUUGGAAUUAUGGUAAAUUACCACACUGGUUUAUCAUUUUUGAUUCUUUUAAAGCACUAUUCAUAGCCACAGGAUAAAACCAUCAUAUCUGUAUUUAUGGAUUAAAUUAAUGUAUUCCUUUAUUAGAGACAGUGAUAAAAUGAAAGGUGAAAAGGAAGCAUGAUCUUACUAGGCUGUAGACAAUGACAAAUAAAUUAGGG